rnacentral:rRNA from 1 species
UACGUAGGGUGCAAGCGUUGUCCGGAAUUAUUGGGCGUAAAGAGCUCGUAGGCGGUCUGUUGCGUCGGCUGUGAAAACCCGGGGCUCAACCCCGGGCCUGCAGCCGAUACGGGCAGACUAGAGUUCGGCAGGGGAGACUGGAAUUCCUGGUGUAGCGGUGAAAUGCGCAGAUAUCAGGAGGAACACCGGUGGCGAAGGCGGGGUCUCUGGGGCCGAUACUGACGCUGAGGAGCGAAAGCGUGGGGAGCAAACAGG